rnacentral:rRNA from 1 species
GACGAACGCUGGCGGCGUGCUUAACACAUGCAAGUCGAACGCUGAAGCUCAGCUUUUGUUGGGUGGAUGAGUGGCGAACGGGUGAGUAACACGUGAGUAACCUGCCCCCUUCUUUGGGAUAACGCCCGGAAACGGGUGCUAAUACUGGAUAUUCACUGGCUUUCGCAUGGGGGUUGGUGGAAAGGUUUUUCUGGUGGGGGAUGGGCUCGCGGCCUAUCAGCUUGUUGGUGGGGUGAUGGCCUACCAAGGCUUUGACGGGUAGCCGGCCUGAGAGGGUGACCGGUCACAUUGGGACUGAGAUACGGCCCAGACUCCUACGGGAGGCAGCAGUGGGGAAUAUUGCACAAUGGGCGAAAGCCUGAUGCAGCGACGCCGCGUGAGGGAUGGAGGCCUUCGGGUUGUAAACCUCUUUCGCUCAUGGUCAAGCCGCAGCUUUGGGUUGUGGUGAGGGUAGUGGGUAAAGAAGCGCCGGCUAACUACGUGCCAGCAGCCGCGGUAAUACGUAGGGCGCGAGCGUUGUCCGGAAUUAUUGGGCGUAAAGGGCUUGUAGGCGGUUGGUCGCGUCUGCCGUGAAAUCCUCUGGCUUAACUGGGGGCGUGCGGUGGGUACGGGCUGACUUGAGUGCGGUAGGGGAGACUGGAACUCCUGGUGUAGCGGUGGAAUGCGCAUAUAUCACGAAGAGCACCGGUGGCGAAGGCUGGUCUCUGGGCCGUUACUGACGCUGAGGAGCGAAAGCGUGGGAGAGCGAACUGGAUAUAUCCCCUAGUAGUCCCUGUGGCUAAUUCAACAGUGGAUUCAUGUUAUCGAUCCCGUCGACCUCGAGGAGGGGUGCUGGUACCAGUUUUGUUCCUUUAGUGAUGGGUAAUUAGUGGGGCUUUGUUUGUGUGUGCUUCCCGCCGUUGUGUGUGUUGUUGUGACUGGUUGGUGUGUAUGCUGGUC